GAUGAAGAACGUAGCAAAAUGCGAUAAGUAAUGUGAAUUGCAGAAUUCAGUGAAUCAUCGAAUCUUUGAACGCACAUUGCGCCCGCUGGUAUUCCGGCGGGCAUGCCUGUUCGAGCGUCAUUUCAACCCUCAAGCCCCCGGGUUUGGUGUUGGGGAUCGGCUCUGCCCUUCUGGGCGGUGCCGCCCCCGAAAUACAUUGGCGGUCUCGCUGCAGCCUCCAUUGCGUAGUAGCUAACACCUCAACUGGAACGCGGCGCGGCCAUGCCGUAAAACCCCAACUUCUGAAUGUUGACCUCGGAUCAGGUAGGAAUACCCGCUGAACUUAAGCAUAUCAAUAAGCGGAGGA
rnacentral:misc_RNA from 1 species